rnacentral:rRNA from 1 species
UCCGUAGGCGGGCAGCUCAGUCAGUGGUGAAAGUCUGCAGCUCAACUGUAGAAUUGCCAUUGAUACUGGUUGUCUUGAAUUAUUAUGAAGUGGUUAGAAUAAGUAGUGUAGCGGUGAAAUGCAUAGAUAUUACUUAGAAUACCGAUUGCGAAGGCAGAUCACUAAUAAUAUAUUGACGCUGAGGGACGAAAGCGUGGGGAGCGAACAGGAUUAGAUACCCUGGUAGUCC